UGGGGAAUUUUGGACAAUGGGCGAAAGCCUGAUCCAGCAAUGCCGCGUGUGUGAAGAAGGCCUUCGGGUUGUAAAGCACUUUUGUCCGGAAAGAAAUCCUUGGCUCUAAUACAGUCGGGGGAUGACGGUACCGGAAGAAUAAGCACCGGCUAACUACGUGCCAGCAGCCGCGGUAAUACGUAGGGUGCAAGCGUUAAUCGGAAUUACUGGGCGUAAAGCGUGCGCAGGCGGUUUGCUAAGACCGAUGUGAAAUCCCCGGGCUCAACCUGGGAACUGCAUUGGUGACUGGCAGGCUAGAGUAUGGCAGAGGGGGGUAGAAUUCCACGUGUAGCAGUGAAAUGCGUAGAGAUGUGGAGGAAUACCGAUGGCGAAGGCAGCCCCCUGGGCCAAUACUGACGCUCAUGCACGAAAGCGUGGGGAGCAAACAGGAUUAGAUACCCUGGUAGUCCACGCCCUAAACGAUGUCAACUAGUUGUUGGGGAUUCAUUUCCUUAGUAACGUAGCUAACGCGUGAAGUUGACCGCCUGGGGGAGUACGGUCGCAAGAUUAAAACUUAAAUGAAUUGACGGGGUCAUAGCUGUUUCCU
rnacentral:rRNA from 1 species